UACAGAGGGGGCAAGCGUUAUUCGGAAUUAUUGGGCGUAAAGGGCGCGUAGGCGGCCUGACAAGUGGAAGGUGAAAUCCCUCGGCUUAACCGAGGAACUGCCCUCCAAACUGUCUGGCUUGAGACCGGGAGAGGUGAGUGGAAUUCCCAGUGUAGCGGUGAAAUGCGUAGAUAUUGGGAGGAACACCAGAAGCGAAGGCGGCUCACUGGCCCGAGACUGACGCUGAGGCGCGAAAGCGUGGGGAGCAAACAGG
rnacentral:rRNA from 1 species